rfam:Rattus norvegicus chromosome 3, whole genome shotgun sequence.
GGGGAUUUAGCUCAGCGGUAGAGCGCCUGCCUAGCGAGCGCAAGGCCCUGGGUUCGGUCCCCAGCUCCA